rnacentral:rRNA from 1 species
AAGCGGUAACGGCGAGUGAAGCGGUAACAGCUCAAAUUUGAAAUCUGGCUCCUCGGGGCCCGAAUUGUAAUUUGUAGAAGAUGCUUUGGGUCUGGGCCUGGCCUAAGUUCCUUGGAACAGGACGUCGUAGAGGGUGAGAAUCCCGUAUGCGGCUGGCGCCCGUGCCCGUGUAAAGCUCUUUCGACGAGUCGAGUUGUUUGGGAAUGCAGCUCUAAAUGGGUGGUAAAUUUCAUCUAAAGCUAAAUAUUGGCCAGAGACCGAUAGCGCACAAGUAGAGUGAUCGAAAGAUGAAAAGCACUUUGGAAAGAGAGUUAAACAGUACGUGAAAUUGUUGAAAGGGAAGCGCUGGCAACCAGACUUGGGCGCUGUUGAUCCGCUAGGGUUCUCUCUAGGGCACUCGGCAGCGCGCAGGCCAGCAUCGGUUUGGGGGGUUGGAGAAUGGCUGGUGGAAUGUGGCUGUCUUCGGGCAGUGUUAUAGCCACCGGUGGCAUGCAGCCUCCCCGGACCGAGGACCGCGCUUCGGCUAGGAUGCUGGCGUAAUGGUUGUCAGCGACCCGUCUUGAAACACGGACCAAGGAGUCUAACAUCUAUGCGAGUGUUUGGGUGUUAAACCCAUACGCGGAAUGAAAGUGAACGUAGGUGAGAACCCGUAAGGGUGCAUCAUCGACCGAUCCUGAUGUCUUCGGAUGGAUUUGAGUAAGAGCAUAGCUGUUGGGACCCGAAAGAUGGUGAACUAUGCCUGAAUAGGGUGAAGCCAGAGGAAACUCUGGUGGAGGCUCGCAGCGGUUCUGACGUGCAAAUCGAUCGUCAAAUUUGGGUAUAGGGGCGAAAGACUAAUCGAACCAUCUAGUAGCUGGUUCCUGCCGAAGUU